rnacentral:pre_miRNA from 1 species
UGCUGGUUCAGAUGGAAGAGUAAAAUUAGAUCUAGUGCAUUGCUAUGUUAGGCCUAGGAGGCACCAGGAACUUCCUUGUUUGGUGCACCAGGAGCUGAAGCAUUGCAGGAGACUAGAGACCAGCAUUUUGGUCUUUCAAAUCAUCAGCA